rnacentral:sRNA from 1 species
GCAACUUGGACCGGGAGGUGUGCAGCCGCUGUGGGCAGCCUGUGGACCCGGCACUGCUCAAGGUGCUGCGCCUGGCGCAGCUCAUCAUUGAGUACCUGCUCCACUGCCAGGAUUGCCUGAGUGCCAGCGUUGCCCAGCUGGAGGCACGGCUGCAGACCAGCCUGGGCCAGCAGCAGCGUGGUCAGCAGGAGCUGGGACGCCAGGCUGACGAGCUCAAGGGUGUGCGGGAGGAGAGCCGCCGGCGUCGCAAGAUGAUCAGCACCCUGCAGCAGCUGCUAAUGCAGACAGGCACCCACAGCUACCACACGUGCCACCUGUGUGACAAGACAUUCAUGAAUGCCACCUUUCUCCGGGGCCACAUCCAGCGCAGGCAUGCAGGCGUGGCAGAAGGUGGAAAACAGAAGAAACAGGAACAGCCAGUGGAAGAGGUGUUAGAAGAGCUACGGGCCAAGCUAAAGUGGACCCAAGGGGAGCUGGAAGCCCAGAGGGAGGCAGAGAGGCAGCGGCAGCUCCAGGAAGCAGAGCUCAUUCAUCAGAGGGAAAUAGAAGCUAAGAAAGAAUUUGAUAAAUGGAAAGAACAAGAGUGGACCAAACUUUAUGGGGAAAUAGAUAAACUAAAAAAAUUAUUUUGGGAUGAAUUUAAAAAUGUCGCCAAGCAGAACUCUACACUAGAAGAGGUACCCAACAUAAAAGGCUUUUUAAAGUUUC